GACAGAGGUCCCGAGCGUUAGGCGGAAUCACUGGGCUUAAAGCGUGUGUAGGCGGCUUGGUAAGUACCUUGUGAAAUCCCACGGCUCAACCGUGGAACUGCUUGGUAUACUGCUUAUCUUGGGCCACUUAGGGGUUACCGGAACAAACGGUGGAGCGGUGAAAUGCGUAGAUAUCGUUUGGAACGCCAAUGGUGAAAACAGGUAACUGGGAGUGUGCCGACGCUGAGACACGAAAGCCAGGGGAGCGAACGGG
rnacentral:rRNA from 1 species